GAGAGGGAUAUGAUCGAGGCACCUAUUUUUUUUACUUGCAACCUAAUCAGUCACAUCUUUAUUUAUAGUCUGGUCAAGUGGAGGUGGCCAUCAAAGGUGAAACAGAAGGAAAACUGAAACCUUCCAUUCAGUAAAAUGUGGUCCGCUAUGGAGUUUCUAUGUCACUACAGGCCAUAGAGCAACCCAGAAUACGCUUGCAUCAGAUUUAAUCUAAAUCCAAAAUGGACAAUCCAAGAUGGACAAUUGCGUAGUCUUUUUAUUCCUGCUGUUAACAAGUGGACUGUGCAUGAGGACACUGGUUUUGACUAUUGAGCCUGAUGGUGCUGUAAAUUACCAACUGUUUGACUUUUUGUAUGGUGGAAGUUACUUUCACUCCUGAAGAGGUAACGCCUAUGAAAUAUCAGAUUAAAGCCAGCGCUGUAUGUCUGGCGACAUGGGUCCACUGCUUGGCAUCCUGCCUUCACCGGCUCCACCUGCAAUUAA